rnacentral:miRNA from 1 species
GUUUAGGGUUUAGGGUUU